rnacentral:tRNA from 1 species
GCCUGCGUGGCUCAGUCGGUAAAGUGUCCGACUUCAGCUCAGGUCAUGGUCCCACAGUUCUUGGGUUCGAGUCCCACUUCAGGCU